CUCUCUCUCUCUCCCCCUUGUUAUGGCCGGGUUUUAUGCAAAUUUUUAUUUGCAAAUUAGUCCCUCCAUAAGCUUGUCUUUAAAUAGGAUGGGUGGGUAAUGAAAUUACUCAUUAUCUUCUCUCUUUUCAAAACCAUAAGACUCAAAUUUCAUCUCCAUUUCUCCUCUCAAAACCGUCCCCUCUCUCUCACUCUCUCUCUUUGAUUUUCUUCCAUCAAAACUCAAGAACAAGCUCACUCAUUAGGAUCAAGGAUCUUGAAGAACAAUCUUGGAGGUAGAUAGGGGUAGAUCCAUAGGAGUCAAGGCAAGUUUUCGCUAGAGAGCAAGUCUACAACUCAAGAAAAAAGGCCUACAACCUAUUGAUGGACUUGGCGGUGGACGUGUAAGGCAGAGGUUUGCGGAGGUUUGGGACUGGAUACUACCGUGCAAAACUAUUCUGCAAUUUAUAUUUUGAUUUUGAGAAUUAGACAUGUUGAAAUUUAUGGUUUAAAAAGUAUCUACAUGCAAACUUUAUUUGCGAUGCUUAUUUAUAUGUGUGUUUUAAAUUCCAAGUACUUAGAAACUAAAAUGUGUUAUUAAAAUAUAUUAGAUUCGAACCUUAGUGCGAUUACAAUG